rnacentral:rRNA from 1 species
GACCAAGGAGUCUAACAUGUGCGCAAGUCAUUGGGUGAUAAAACCCAAAGGCAUAACGAAAGUAAAGAAAGCUUUGCUUUAUUAGGGAGGAUAGUUAUAUAACACAUACUGUUAAUAGCUCGCACUCCCAGGGCGUUUGUUACUCAUUGCGAGUAAAAGCGCACCUAGAGCGUACACGUUGGGACCCGAAAGAUGGUGAACUAUGCCUGGCCAGGAUGAAGCCAGGGGAAACCCUGGUGGAGGUCCGUAGCGAUUCUGACGUGCAAAUCGAUCGUCAGAGCUUGGUAUAGGUGCGAAAGACUUAUCGAACUAUCUAGUAGCUGGUUCCUUCCGAAGUUUCCCUCAGGAUAGCUGGUGCCAGUGAUGAGACGAGUCUCAUCCGGUAAAGCGAAUGAUUAGAGGCCUUGGGGCCGAAACGACCUCAACCUAUUCUCAAACUUUAAAUGGAUGAGAGCCUUAGCUUGCUUAAAAGUGAAGCUAGGGACUUGGAUCAAGGUGUCAAGUGGGCCAAUUAAGGUAAGCAG